rnacentral:tRNA from 1 species
GCCCUGGUUGCUCAGUGGUUAAGCAUUCAGCUGCUAACCAAAAGAUUGGUGGUUCAAACCCACCCAGAAGCU